GACAGCCAAAUGAAGCAGUUGUAACUCAAUAUUAUACUAAAAGCACUGCAGAACUUUCAGACAGCAAAGUAAUGUUCGUGAAUAAGAGUCUAAGCCUUCUGUCGCUCUUUAGUUUCUGAUAAACAAUAGCUAUGGCACUACUGGAGACAAACUUUAUGACCAAUAUAAACAAUUGUACUGUACAUGUACUAUAUUAUAUUAAUAUAUAAAAUCAUAUUGCGUUAUUCCCAGAAGGGGUAGACAGAGUUAAAAUAUUAUCUAUAUGGUUUCGCCAACUUAUCUUUCUUCCAUCUUAGUCUAUCCCCACAGAGGACACUAAUUCGAUGUAAAAUAAUAAUAAAUUUAAUAUGCUAUGGAUAAAUUAAAAUUUAUAUUAAAAAUUAUUUGAUUGUAGCUUCAUGAACAUUUCAUUUUCAAAUGCUGUAUAUUGUGAUACUCAUGGUAAUGAGUUUUCAUUCGAGAACCUGUAUGUUCAAGCCAGAAAUAUAAGAUAUGUCCACAUUCCUGAAACUAUGCCAAUAAUUUCGACGAUAAAGAAUGAAGUGUGCAGACAAAGAGCACCAAGGCCAGCCAUUAAGGAAUUAGCUGCCAAUUCCAGGAAAAUGAAGAAAGCACUCAAACAACACAUGGAAAUUGUUGCAUCAUUGGAUACUGAAUAGUACUGCAAGUUUAACCUAUGUUUAUAAUUAGAGAAUUAAAUAAAAAAUAAUGUUGAAAGAAA